rnacentral:misc_RNA from 1 species
GCAUGAUUGACAAGUCAAGUGUUGCUGUUGGAAGCGAUGAUUUGGCUCACUAGCAUACGGAAUUUUUUUUUUUUUUUUAAAUCCAUGUAGAUGAAAAGUUCUUUUUCAUUUUUCAGCUCCUCAUGCUGGGAGGCAAUAUUCACCUACUGGGUUUGGCUUACCAAUUGAAAUUGGCUUCCACGUUUCAAUGAUUAGAAGCAAAUGCAGCUAGAAGAGGAGAACGAAACAGAGGGGUUUGAUUGUAUUUUCAUAUAUAUAGUUUUUUUUUUUUUUUUUCUCUUUGCUGGUUUUAUGAAUUUCUUAAUUUGAGGGUUAUUACAUGGUUUUAGGGCUUUGGAAUCAGUUGUGAUGGCUACUGUCAUGCUGUAGCCAUUCUCAACUCUGCCACUACCAGGUUUUAAGAAAAUCACCUAAUGAAGGUUUUUGUAUCUUUUCACUCAUAUCAUAGUAACACUUAUUCAGAUAGGGUGUUAUUUUUUGCAGCUACACUUGGUGAUAUGAUUUCUGACUACCUGUGAUUAGUUGUAGAUGUUUGUAUUUUGAGAAGGAAUGAUGGUACUGCAUCAUUUGGUCUCAAUUCACAGGGUUUGAGCUCCUACAAGUUUUUCCUUUGCAAUUAUUAUUAUUAUUCCCUUUGGAUCCUAGAUGCUUUUAGGCUUUUUACUCGGAAAAUUUCUUUAGCAGGUACCCUCAUCAAUCGUUCUCUUGGUGAAAAUUUGUGGAAAUUCUAAUGAUUGGCCAUUGUUAAGAAUUUGUAAUGAGAAAUAGCAUUGGUGUACAGUUCAUGUUGUAAAUGUUGUCUUUUUUAUUUUAUUUUAUUUUAUUAUCAAUUUUCAUUUACAACCUUCAAGGGAGGAACAUGUUUUCAUUUUUUUUUGAAUUAUCUUAAAUCCUCCAAGAUCAAGCAAAUUUACAAUUAACUGGAGAGAUAUUCCAAUGUGAAGUAUGCAUUUUGUGUCAACUUACA